UUCCAGAACAGCCUGGAGCAGAGGCCUUGGAAAUGCAGCCCAGGGGGGACUGGCUCCAGCAGCAUCCCAAAACCAGCAGUGUUUGCCAGCCUCCAAGGGGUUGAGAGGUGUUGGACAGGAUGUCCUGCUGAGGAGGACACAGCUUAACCCCUUUCUGGGACCAGUUCUCCAAAAACUCUGAUCUCCUGUUUCCCAUGGUUUUGCACUUUGCCUGCUUUAGGUUCUUUUCCCACCACAGCCACUGGAAGGCUGAUUGACUGUUGAGAAUUGCUGCAUUUUUU
rnacentral:lncRNA from 12 species